GCCGGGAUAGCUCAGUCGGUAGAGCAACGGAUUGAAAAUCCGUGUGUCCUCAGUUCAAUUCUGAGUCCCGGCA
rnacentral:tRNA from 1 species